rfam:Brachyspira sp. CAG:700 genomic scaffold, scf383
GGGCUGGUAGCUCAGUUGGUAGAGCAGAUGACUCUUAAUCAUCAGGUCCAGGGUUCGACCCCCUGCCAGCUCA